rnacentral:rRNA from 1 species
GAUAAACGCUGGCGGCGCACAUAUGACAUGCAAGUCGAACGGAAGUCGUUAUACAAGGAGAGAAGAUUUAUCGGAUUGAAUUAUAUAACAAUGGCUUUAGUGGCGGACUGGUGAGUAACGCGUAAGAAAUCUACCUAUCAGAGGGGAACAACAAUGAGAAAUCAUUGCUAAUACCGCAUAUGCCAUAAACAUCGCAUGAUGAAAGUGGGAAAGGAGCAAUCCGCUGAUAGAUGAUCUUGCGUCUGAUUAGUUAGUUGGUGGGGUAAUGGCCUACCAAGACGACGAUCAGUAGCCGGACUGAGAGGUUGAACGGCCACAUUGGGACUGAGAUACGGCCCAGACUCCUACGGGAGGCAGCAGUCGGGAAUAUUGCGCAAUGGAGGAAACUCUGACGCAGUGACGCCGCGUGCAGGAAGAAGGUUUUCGGAUUGUAAACUGCUUUAGACAGGGAAGAGAAAGGACAGUACCUGUAGAAUAAGCUCCGGCUAACUACGUGCCAGCAGCCGCGGUAAUACGUAGGGAGCGAGCGUUAUCCGGAUUUAUUGGGUGUAAAGGGUGCGUAGACGGGAAUACAAGUUAGUUGUGAAAUACCUCGGCUUAACUGAGGAACUGCAACUAAAACUAUAUUUCUUGAGUGCAGGAGAGGUAAGUGGAAUUCCUAGUGUAGCGGUGAUAUGCGUAGAUAUUAGGAGGAACACCAGUGGCGAAGGCGACUUACUGGACUGAAACUGACGUUGAGGCACGAAAGUGUGGGGAGCAAACAGGAUUAGAUACCCUGGUAGUCCACACCGUAAACGCUCUAAACGAGGUGUAGGAGAUAUUAAGUUCUUCUGUGCCGUCGCAAACGCAGUUAAGUAUCCCCCCCGGGGGAGUACGGCCGCAAAGUUGAAACUCAAAGGAAUUGACGGGGGGCCGCCCCAAGCAGUGGAGUAUGUGGUUUAAUUUGAUAGCAACGCGAAAGAACCUUACCCAGGGCUUGACAUAUAGAUGAAUAUAUAAGAGAUUAUAUAGCUUUUCGGAGCAUCUAUACAGGUGGUGCAUGGUUGUCGUCAGCUCGUGUCGUGAGAUGUUGGGUUAAGUCCCGCAACGAGCGCAACCCCUGUUUCUAGUUGCCAGCAUGUAAAGAUGGGAACUCUAGAAAGACUGCCGUAGAUAAUACGGAGGAAGGUGGGGAUGACGUCAAAUCAUCAUGCCCUUUAUGUCCUGGGCUACACACGUACUACAAUGGCUGUAACAGAGGGAAGCGAACCAGUGAUGGUAAGCGAAACCCGAAAAGCAGUCACAGUUCGGAUUGAAGGCUGAAACUCGCCUUCAUGAAGCCGGAAUUGCUAGUAAUGGCAGGUCAGCAUACUGCCGUGAAUACGUUCCCGGGCCUUGCACA